rnacentral:rRNA from 1 species
GACGAACGCUGGCGGCGUGCUUAACACAUGCCAGUCGAACGGAAAGGCCCUGCUUUUGUGGGGUGCUCGAGUGGCGAACGGGUGAGUAACACGUGAGUAACCUGCCCUUGACUUUGGGAUAACUUCAGGAAACUGGGGCUAAUACCGGAUAGGAGCUCCUGCUGCAUGGUGGGGGUUGGAAAGUUUCGGCGGUUGGGGAUGGACUCGCGGCUUAUCAGCUUGUUGGUGGGGUAGUGGCUUACCAAGGCUUUGACGGGUAGCCGGCCUGAGAGGGUGACCGGCCUCAAUGGGACUGAGAGACGGCCCAGACGCCUACGGGAGGCAGCGGUGGGGAGUAUUGCACAAUGGGCGGAAGCCUGAGGCAGCAACGCCGGGUGCGGGAUGACGGCCUUCGGGUUGUAAACCGCUGUCGCCUGUGACGAAGCGUGAGUGACGGUAAUGGGUAAAGAAGCACCGGCUAACUACGUG